CCAAUAUGAACUUCGUCAAUUUUAAAAGAAAGUAAAAAAUGUAAACAAAUGGGAUAUAGUCGUCUAGAGAUGGCCGAAAGGUUGAAAGAGUUGAAAUGAAUGUAGGUAAUGUCCCAAAAAUAAACGACAUAUUUUUGAACGUCUAAAGUAUAUA